rnacentral:rRNA from 1 species
GACGAAGGUGGCGAGCGUUGUUCGGAAUCACUGGGCAUAAAGCGCACGUAGGCGGCGACGUAAGUUGGGUGUGAAAUCCCUCGGCCCAACCGAGGAACUGCGCCCAGUACUGCGUUGCUUGAGGAUCAAAGGGGUGCAUGGAAUUCCCGGUGGAGCGGUGAAAUGCGUUGAUAUCGGGAGGAACUCCGGCGGCGAAAGCGGUGCACUGGUUGAUUUCUGACGCUGAGGUGCGAAAGCCAGGGGAGCAAACGGG